rnacentral:snRNA from 1 species
UUGCUCGCUUCGACAGCAGAUAUACUAAAAUUGGAACAAUACAGAGAAGAUUAGCACAGCCUCUGCACAAGGAUAACACGCAAAUUCGUGAAGCGUUCCAUAUUUUU